rnacentral:rRNA from 1 species
GACGAACGCUGGCGGCGUGCUUAACACAUGCAAGUCGAACGGAAAGGCCCUGCUUUUGUGGGGUGCUCGAGUGGCGAACGGGUGAGUAACACGUGAGUAACCUGCCCUUGACUUUGGGAUAACUUCAGGAAACUGGGGCUAAUACCGGAUAGGAGCUCCUGCUGCAUGGUGGGGGUUGGAAAGUUUCGGCGGUUGGGGAUGGACUCGCGGCUUAUCAGCUUGUUGGUGGGGUAGUGGCUUACCAAGGCUUUGACGGGUAGCCGGCCUGAGAGGGUGACCGGCCACAUUGGGACUGGGAAACGGCCAAAACUCCUACGGGAGGAAGCAGGGGGGAAUAUUGAACAAUGGGCGGAAGCCUGAUGCAGCAACGCCGGGUGCGGGAUGACGGCCUUCGGGUUGUAAACCGCUUUCGCCUGUGACGAAGCGUGAGUGACGGUAAUGGGUAAAGAAGCACCGGCUAACUACGUG